GGAACACUGGUCUGCAUUCAGUGAAGAAUUAAGCGCUCCCCUAGACAUUUUUAUGUAUCAACUCUAUUCACCACCUUGGAUGAUUUCCGCAUUCCUGUGAAUGAUACCUCCAAGCCUCCUCUCUUACCUUCUAUGCUGAUGAUCUUCAUCUUCCCUCCUCCUAAAUUGUGAGCACUCCAGAUCAGGUGCAAAUACUUCAGAAGUGCUUCUAAGCAUGUUUUGAGUCUGGCUUAUGGCUUUUCUCUCUCAGUCUUUUCCACUGCACCUACUCUGCCCUCCAGGUCUGCCAAACUUUAUGCAGAUGAGAAAACCUUGCUUGGAGAUGCUGGGUAACACAGAAGAGUCACCUCGCUAAUAAAACACAAAAAAUCUGGCAUUGGAAUGCAGAUGCCUUUCCAGUGGAGCUCACAAAAAACAAAACAAUAAAGCAGUCUCCAACAUACUAAACAGCUGUCUCCAGGAUCAGUAAGCAUCAGAACAGACCCUAAAGAAUUGUCUGAUCCCAGAGGAAGAUCUUCUUAAGCAGAGAAGUGCUUGCAGCAGAAACCUUGGAAAUUUCAGGGAGUGGAAUUUUAUUGUCAGAACUUUCACUAAGAGUACAGCCACAGACCCUGGGAGCAUUAAAUAAAAAUUACCACCAAGCUGUCUUACCUGUGUGCACACUCCUGAAAGGGAGGGCAAACGUGAGCGCGUAGCGCUUCUACAUGAGUCAAAACUCUGACAGGUAAACCCUACGAAGUUUGACGAGCUGCCAUGUGCUCUGCUACCUGAGAUACUCUUAACUGAACCAUAAAAAGACAAAUAAAUUA